UACAGAGGGUGCGAGCGUUAAUCGGAAUUACUGGGCGUAAAGCGUGCGUAGACGGUUAUUUAAGUCGGGUGUGAAAGCCCCGGGCUCAACCUGGGAAUUGCAUUCGAGACUGAAUAGCUAGGGUACGGUAGAGGGAAGCGGAAUUUCCGGUGUAGCGGUGAAAUGCGUAGAUAUUGGGAGGAACACCGGUGGCGAAGGCGGCCAACUGGGCCUUAACUGACGCUGAGGCGCGAAAGCGUGGGGAGCAAACAGG
rnacentral:rRNA from 1 species